AUAGGAUUUUAAGAAAGCAGAAUUGUAAUGUGGAGUGAAAAGAAAAGCGAGAGGUUGGGUCGGAAACUAGGUUAUCAGUACAAUGCAGAAAGGGAAAAUAAAUGCUAAUAGACUGCACAUAUGCCCUUCCCACUAGAUUAGAGACCAGGAGGGCGCCUGCUGGAUUCGGCCCAUUGUGUGGCCGAACAGAACACAGGGUCUGGGCUAUUAUCCCCUCCACAGCCCCUUGUGCCACAGAUGGUUCUUCUUGCUUCUCUUAUCGGGCCGUGCAUUCAGUCUCUGUAGCUUGAUCUCUUCCUCACUCUUCUGCUCAUACAAAAUGGAUUGAUCUGCUGAAAGAGAGGGGCUGGAGAGAGGCUGUCUCGGGAGGAAAGGGGAGGGUGUGAAGACAAAAGCCGGGGAGGCCAGGUGCAGUGAUGGGGUGGGGAGGGAAGAGAGAGACUCAGUGCCUUGCUGGGGACAGCCCCGUUAGCAGUCAGCAGCCUUGUCUCCCCUAGGCCUCGAGCUCAGCCGCCUGGAAAAUGGCCUUGUGCCUUUGUGCUCUGGACAGCCAAAGCUCUCAGGUGUUGAACAAGCAAGCAGCGCUGACUGCCUUUUCUCCCUUCCCUGGGGAUGCUGAACGUCUAGGGCUGGCGUUGCUGGUGGUCCCCUCCCAGGAGACCCAAAGCUCUGCCUUUGAGCUGACUGACGAGCUGCAAAUUCAGCAAAGGUGAGCAGGGGUUGAGAACCGUGGCCUUAUGAGAGACAGCCCUCCCAGGAGAGCCAGCUGUCCCAAGACAGCCUACCUGGAAGGAUGGAAGGGUCAUUCCUCAGGGCUGAAUCCAGAGCCCAAGGUGUGCUGAACACAAGUCUCCUCCUGAUCUGGAUCCACAAGAGGUUGUAUGACUGAGAGCACAUCCAGGCUCCUUUACUUACAAGCUGUGGGGCCUCCAGACAUUUGCCCAGCUGUAUUCAUAGUGUUACUGGUGAAGAUUAAAUGGGUUGGUCAUGGAAAGAUCUCAGAACAAUGAGUGGCUUAGAAUAAUACCUUAAAACUUAGCUAUGAUUUUCAUCAUCAUCAUGGUCAUCAUCAUCAUCAUCAUAUAUCUAUAUUAGAACCAUUUUCUAUUAACAUUACAUAUUAUCAGUAUUACAAUGUACCUCCGUAUGAGACAUCAUGGCAUAAUUGAGAGAACAUGGACUUUGUGGACAGGCAGUUUGAGACCUCACCCUGACACUCAAAUCACACAGUAUUUGUGUGAUUUUUGGUGUGUUACUUCUCUUUUCAAGCCUCAGUUUCCUAACUGUGAGGUGGGGCUAAUGCUAUAAAUUACCCAGUACAGAGCCUGCACAUUAGAGCAGUUCGAUACAUGGGAGCUGUCACUCUUCAGAAUAGCCCAUGCAAACACAUGUUAUGUGUACCUGUGCGUGCCUGUGUGUCAUUGAGUUUGGGUGGUCAGUUUCUGCUGGUGUGUGUUGAACAUAGAACCUAGAAGCAAGUGUCUGAAACAGCAGAACAGACUGGGACAGGGAGAGGCUGGCAAGAAGGAAUGUAAGCAGAAUCAGAGACAAGGACCUCAGAAUUCCAGUCCUGGUUCAUUGCCCUAAUACCUCUUUCCCUUCUUCCUGUGGCAGGUGCCUGUGGGCUACAGGCCUGGGCCUUAAUGGGUCAAGUCCUGCUUGUGGCUCCUGUCAACCUUCAAGCACAACUUCUCUCUCUCCUGGAACUGAGCAGCUUUGUGUACUUUGAAGCCCCUAAAUGCAGUUUGGGGGGCUCUUGAUCAGGGAGUUAAGAGGUUCAAGUUAAUCCUGGCUCCCCAUCAGUGGAAAAUGAGGAAUAGCGCAAGGACCUUUUUCUCAAUGUGCCUUAGUUUCACCAUCUGUAAACAGAGGGCUGGGGCAGACAAAUCCCAUAUCCCCUGUCCCCCACAGCAAAAUCUUACAUCCAGAUGAAGUGUGUCCUGUCCUCUGAGCAUCUUUUUGCUGCAUCUUUGCAAGGAAGAUUGUAAAUGUCGGUGUGAACGUAGAAAGAAGUGUCUGAAACAGCAGAACUGACUGGGACAGGGAGAGGCUGGCAAGAAGCAAUCAUUUGAUAUUAAGCCCCUGCUAAACAUCAAGCUUGUCAUGAAGAAAUGAGGUCAGCACACAAAGGGAAUGCCCCUUGGAGAAACUCAGCACUCCAUUUGGAGCUAACUGGACCAAUUCUUGACCAGUGAAAAGAUAAAUCCAGUGUAAGGUGCAAGCACCUGCUUUUAACAUGAUGCCAUUGUGAUUUUAGCUGCUGCUCACAGGUAACUAUCGCUCUUCAAGUCUUUCCUUCCUUGUACUAGUUAAUUCUCACAGGCCAGACCUGUAAUUGAGGGAUGAGAUUUACACAUUUGCAGCCCCCGGCUUUCCUUCUCGGCUUUCCACUCCAAUUAGGUUCCCAAGACAUGAAUCUACAGAUGAUCCAUUUUCCCAGAUCCAGAGCUGAGCCCUGAUGAAGCCACACAUCUCACCUCACGGUGGUGCAGUUCUGUGGGGAGGCCGUCUCUGCAGGAUGGAACCCCUUCCCUCUCAAGAGGGUCACUUGCAGAACAAAACUGACUCUGGGAAAAGAAAGUCUUCAGUAUUUUGAAUCCAUUGAUACACAGGUGAAACAAAUCAGUUUGCAUUUUCCCUAUACUUUCAACACUUUGUUUCUGAAUAAUAAUAAAAGAGUUCCUGAAGCAAAUACUAUUUUGAGCCUAAUUUCUGGAGGCUCCUAGCAGGCAAAUCACUCUUUCUCUUGCGGUGAUGUUCUUUUUAGUCUUAAAAAGAAAAGACUUAAGGGAAGAAGCUGUCUUUUAUUUUUCAAACAUUGAGCAGGUGCCUUGAGGAAGAAGCCCUGGGUGCCUUGGUGGCUGCGGUGGGUAGAACAGGGGGAGACAGGUAGAGGGGGCAAGUGGAGAUUUGGACUGGAAAAUAGAAUACUCCAGUUCAGCAGUUCCCAACCAGGCUGUACAGUAGAGCCACUUGGGGAUGUUUUAAAAAGAACCAAUUCCCGCUCCCCUCCCUAGGUAAUACUGAUUUAGCUUGUCUGGCACAGGGCCUGGGAAUCUGCAUAUUUGAAAGACCCAUUCUCUACCUAGGAAAUCAGAAUUAUUACAGGAGAAGUGUGGGAACUAUAUUUUAAAAAAAUGGCUGGCUAGGCACGGUGGUUCACAC
rnacentral:lncRNA from 1 species